CCAGGCCCUACGGGGUGCAGCAGGCGCGAAACCUCCGCAAUGUGAGAAAUCGCGACGGGGGGAUCCCAAGUGCCAUUCUUAACGGGAUGGCUUUUCAUUAGUGUAAAGAGCUUUUGGAAUAAGAGCUGGGCAAGACCGGUGCCAGCCGCCGCGGUAACACCGGCAGCUCUAGUGGUAGCAGUUUUUAUUGGGCCUAAAGCGUCCGUAGCCGGUUUAAUAAGUCUCUGGUGAAAUCCUGCAGCUUAACUGUGGGAAUUGCCGGAGAUACUAUUAGACUUGAGAUCGGGAGAGGUUAGAGGUACUCCCAGGGUAGAGGUGAAAUUCUGUAAUCCUGGGAGGACCGCCUGUUGCGAAGGCGUCUGACUGGAACGAUUCUGACGGUGAGGGACGAAAGCUAGGGGCGCGAACCGGAUUAGAUACCCGGGUAGUCCUAGCUGUAAACGAUGCGGACUUGGUGUUGGGGUGGCUUUGAGCUGUCCCAGUGCCGAAGGGAAGCUGUUAAGUCCGCCGCCUGGGAAGUACGGUCGCAAGACUGAAACUUAAAGGAAUUGGCGGGGGGAGCACCACAACGCGUGGAACCCUGCGGUUUAAUUGGAGUCAACGCCCGG
rnacentral:rRNA from 1 species